UGCAAUCAUCUACUGUUGGGGUAAUGUUAUCUUCCAUAGACAACUCUGAUUCUUGUCUCAAAACAGCUUUCUUUGCAGACACAGCAUUACGAUCACUUUCACUUCCAUGUUUUUGUACUUUAUCUCCUGCAGGAGACUGGAUUUCAUUGAGAGUCUCUCCUUUCUCAUUACUAUGCAUAAAGGAGCCUGUGCUUGGUUUCUCAUCCUUCCCCUUCCCUGCUUUAUCACCA
rnacentral:lncRNA from 1 species